UACGGAGGGUGCAAGCGUUGCUCGGAAUUAUUGGGCGUAAAGGGUAGGUAGGCGGUCUCAUUUGUCUGGGGUGAAAGCCUUGGGCUUAACUCAAGAAGUGCCUCAGAAACGGUGAGACUAGAGUCCUGGAGAGGGUCGUGGAAUUCCCGGUGUAGCGGUGAAAUGCGUAGAGAUCGGGAGGAACACCAGUGGCGAAGGCGAGUCUCUGGACGACUCCUGACACUGAGGCACGAAAGCCAGGGGAGCAAACAGG
rnacentral:rRNA from 1 species